GCAGCCUCCCUUUUGUCAAGCAGCAACAGGAGGACGGCAGAAGCAAAGUGUUCACUCUGAGAGACAGCCAGUGAAGGAUGAGGCGGCCAUAGAAUGGACACAUUUCUGAACUGUUCUGAGUGGACCUCUUUAUGUGAGGUGAAAAACACAACAACCUGAAAGUGUGGUUCUUGAGGACUCCAGGCUUCAGGCAUGUCUCAGACCAGCCCCAUGCUGGCUGCAACAAAGAAAAAAUUCAAGAUGUGUAGAAACAAAAUUAGAACCUACGACUGAGCUGCCCGCCUUCCAUCACCACCCACAAAAAAAUGCUCUGCAGGGAUCCCAAGGACCAAAAGGAUCUUCCAUUGUUGCAUGAUGAAAGGAACAACGGAACAACAUUGGUACGCACAAAUAAAAUGGAAGGUAUCAGAAGAAACCGCAAUGGUACAUAGAGGCCUAUUAAGGCCUCGUCCUUUAGGAUUUCUAAUAAUUUGAGAGACCAUGCCAUUUUUCAACUUAUAAUGGCUGUUCAGACAACAAUUUUUCUCCUUUUUCUUCUAAAAGCACCCCCUGUUGGUAUGAAGGCCUUAGUCAUUUCCCCUUUCUUAAACAGUCAAUAAAAUCCCCUAUUUUAUUUUCGCAUUGUGUUUCUUAUCCAAGCAUGUUCAAUAGGCAUGGACAGAAGAAUGUAGAAAACAACAGUAUUAUGAAAUUGGUUGUCAAUGUAAAGAACUACCUAGUAGUCAUAGAUAAUGCUGAGGGUGGGGGGGGGGAUAGCAGAGGAAAUACUGAAUGCCGUUGUUUUUUGAGGCAUUCCAAUCUUAUAUUAGUUUUCUUCCAAUUAAAUGUGCAUACCUCUAAAAGGAGGCCUGGCGAGGGUUCUGAGGAACUGUACUCUUGUAUGGAUUCUGAGAAUUCUCUCUUGAUGCUCCCAAGGGUUGCUGCCCGCUUGACAAGGUCAUCUGAGGGGGCUCUGCUCCAGGUGGCGACAAUGAGGGAGGCUCAGCUGUCGUGUACUCGGGACAGGGCCUUCUCUGCUGCUGCCCCCAGACUUUGGAAUGCUCUCCCAGUGGCCAUUCGCUCCUCUGACUCCAUCACAGAUUUUAGAAAGCUUGUUAAAUCUUGGCCCUUUAUCCAGGCUUUUACAUGAUUGUUUUUAUUGCUGCUUCUAUGUGUUUUUACUCAUGUAUAGUUUUUAGGCACAUAUUUUAUAGAUUUUAAAUUUGGUUUGUUUUUAUAUUUUUAGCUUAGUAUUUUUAUUGUCAUUUUAUUGUAUGUUUUUUAAA